GAGGAAUAUUGCACAAUGGGCGCAAGCCUGAUGCAGCAACGCCGCGUGAGGGACGAAGGCCUUCGGGUCGUAAACCUCUUUUCUGGGGGACGAGUAAGGACGGUACCCCAGGAAUAAGUCUCGGCUAACUACGUGCCAGCAGCCGCGGUAAAACGUAGGAGGCGAGCGUUAUCCGGAUUUACUGGGCGUAAAGCGUACGCAGGUGGCUUCGUUAGUCGGACAUGAAAGCUCCUGGCUUAACUGGGAGAGGUUGUUCGAUACUGCGGGGCUUGAGGUUGGGAGAGGGACGUGGAAUUCCCGGUGUAGUGGUGGAAUGCGUAGAUAUCGGGAGGAACACCAGUGGCGCAAGCGGCGUCCUGGCCCACACCUGACGCUGAGGUACGAAAGCGUGGGUAGCAAAC
rnacentral:rRNA from 1 species